ensembl:lncRNA
GGCUAGCUCGCCCCGAACUGCUCCAUGAGCGCUGAAAACUGCAACCCGCUCUAAGAGUGCUCUCCGGAGAAGGGGAAGGAGAAGGAGGAGGAAAGGAAAACAUUGAGACAGAAGAAGACUGGAUCUUUUCCCAUAGGAAGAACCAUGAUCAGCCCUGUUGAAAGACUGCAGAAGACCCACUACUUGUGAAGGCCCACACAUUGGAAAUAUGGGAACUUCUCUCCUGCCACAGAGAACAAAAGGAUCAGAGAAACUGAAAAGCACAAGGCGAUAAGGCAAGUUUUCUCAACCAAGAACCAGGACUGGUGACAAUUUCCAAAGAAACAGUUGCCUUGGUGGACAAGCAGCUGGGCCCACGCAGUAGAUGCCAGGCCCAUGGCCUCUACUUGCUUUUACCUUACAGUUCCCCAGUGGUUUGUUUGGGACUUGCAGGAAAAAACAAACACAUCCCCUCUGCCUCUUCUAACCCCAUCUUUGGCUUCUGCAACCACUCUCCUCCUGCCCAUUACUGGCUUUGGGGCAGAUUCUUUGUCUGCCUAAAGCCUCGCAUUGUCCUGAGUGCAGCUGAAGGUAACCCAGCUCCAAAACUUCUCUGAAGUUAAAUAUUGACCAGAACCUCUUUCAACCUGCUGUAGUUGCCAGGGGCUGGUAGGGCAAACUCUUCCUAACUGAGUGGUGCAAAGUCCCUGAGAAGAGUUUUGGCUCAUUGCUUACCUCCAAAGAUGUUUAAAUCUGGACCAGGAAUUGUUUUUAGCUCCAGGCACUCAGGGAAUCCUCUUAUCCCGUGUCCAGGCACUCUACAGACAAAUAAACAGCAGGGGGUGAAUGGUGGCUGCAAGGGAAGGGAGUUGGAGGACUGGAGUUGGAAAUGUGGCCUGAGCAGGCACCAGGAUGGUCCCAGGGGUGACGCGGGCACGGAGGAGUCACCAGGGCACUCGUCCAUGCGAUGGCACUCGUAGCUAGAAAUGUUCCAGUCUACAAAUGACCCGAAGAUGGUGAUUUAUUUUUGUAAAAUAAAUACAUACUCCAUCUCCUCCGCACCCACACUCUCUCCUUUUUCAUUCUUUUAUAGGGGAGCGGGGAGAAAAAUGGACUAGAUGACAGAGGAAGAUAGGAAGGAGGUGGAAGAGGCUUUGCUGUUGGUGUGGACUCAGCUAGGAGGGCUCCUCACGCACCACAACUUGGGGAAUGUGAAUGCAUGCUUUAUUUUCUUUUGCUAACAAAGGGAAGCCUUGUCUGGAAGCAUUCAAUCAUGGACUCUCCCGAAACCUCACUAAUAGUGUUCAUUUCUGUUGGCGCGAAAUCAGACUCAGGCUCAGUCCACAGACCAGAGGCAGUUUGGGAGGUUUUGUCCUCUGUUUCAUUCAAGCGCUGGGCGGGCCACUUCUUGGUCCUACUGGGCUGGCAGGCCAGCUACUGUUGCUGGAAACUGGGCAAGACUAGGGCAGGUCACUGGACAAUACUCCAUCUGGUUCUGCUUUGCCUUGUGUAGCAAUCAGGAAUCACAAAAUGCCUUGAUUUUGCUGUAAUCUCCCACCUCACAAUAUUUGCAACCCUCUCUAGAGCUCUGUCAGCAAAUCUGACCCUGGAACCCUCAGCCAACUUUCUGGGGGCAGGAGACCCUGGGGAAGGAGAAGAGAAUCUACUGGUGAGUUCUGCUGGGACUUUAUGGGGCAUUGUUUUUAUAGCCCUAACCCUGAAUCCACCAGCCCUUUACCCAAACCUAGGUAACCUCCCAGACUCUGACCUGCUCCAUAACAGCCUUCUUCUGUCUCUCCUGCAUCCAUGUGAGAGGGGAUACCAAAUAGCUGACAAGUCCUCUGACUCCUGGCUUCAGAAUACCGAACAAGUGGAAGCAAACUUACAACUGUCUUCUGCCACAACUCCACCUGAAGCCUUUAACCUCCAUCCCUGCUUGAGACUCAGAAUCCACGCUGGGCCCUUUUCCCUUCUUCAAACUUGCCCUUCCUGUCUUGAAAGGGAGAGCCCCCAGCCUUGGAGCUCCUGGCAUGAGCCCGAGUUGAGUGGGGAUUAGACAUCCUGCACUUUGCUGCUCAAUUUCGCUCCUGAAAGAUCCACUAUGCCACCAUGCACCGCCACCGCCUCCGCCGCAGCUGCCGCCGCCACCACCACCACCACUGUGAGUCAGGCUGAGUAUUGUAAUUAUUAUGGUUAUUAUUAUUGUCGCUAUUUGCUUAUCCCGAAGUCUAAUAUUCAUGGCUGGUGUUCCCCAUAAAUCCUUCAGAUUAAUGAGUCAAAGAGAGAUGUUGCCUAGGUCUCUACCUCUGCAAUGGCCGCUGCCGCGCCGCCGUGGCCUUUUUCUCCGCGGUUUUGGCGUUCGCUUGCUCCCUCGCUAGCCCGGCGCGGUUGAUUUAUGAACGCCCGGAAAAUUGAACAAAGCUGCGCGCCCGUCCUGUGGUAUCUCUGCAGCCUUCCCCAGCGUGAAUCUGAACAUUACCAACUGUCUGCGCAUCCGUCCCACUUCAUCACCAAAGCCAGGAUGUGACCACAAAAAAGAAAAAAAACCAACAACCCAAGCCCAAACUCACGUUUCCCCGACACAGCGCGCUCCCUGGACUCGCAGAAACCCUGCAGAAAAGCACCAGGACCCAGCCUGAGCCCGCCAGCUCUGGUUCUCCUAGCCACAGGGCUCUCUCCUUCCUUCCUGAAGGAGUUAAAAGCCUUUGAAGAUAAAUCUGAGGAUGCGUGUAUUUAAAAAUCAAAUAGGAAGUUGGAGUCUCACUUCAGAGAUUCAUUCCUAGUGAGGCCCUGACUACUCCGAUCCAUUCCUGACGAUCUGCAUUAAUUAUUUAAUGAAUCACGUGACCUCGGAGAUUACAAUUUCAAUAUCUCCCUGGAACAGGCGUUACACCUUUAUCAGCUGCAACCAGGGUCCGUGUUUGGUUUUUUGUUCCCUAGGCCUCUGGAGCACAUUCACCCUUGUGUUGAUGGGGCAAGCAACCGCCAAAGAAAUUACGGGUAGAACACAGCAGAAUUAGUCAUUAUGGGGUGAGGAGCGUUGUGGACAGUAGGGAGCUCACUGCUCUCCAAGGCAUCCUGAAGUCCAUCAGCUCCUGAGACCAGUGGUCAGCCACCUGUCUGAGUGCCAAGUCUAGGGCAGUUUGGUUACAUAAUCUCCCAAGGCAGCUUUUCAGGUACAUUGGGUAAGAACUUACCCUUCCAAAUCCAGGUUACACACACUCCUAGCCUUUCACAUCAAGGGUAAACCCAAAUACAUACUGUAUCCCAUUCUCUUGGAGGAAUAGCUUCUGCUUUGAAAAAAAUGACUGAGUUUACCACAUCCGUGUCCAAGGUGAGAUUAAAGGCUUUUCUCAGCCUACACACUCAUUAACAUAAGAAACGUUGGGAAGUGGAAUAUUCAACUGCCUCAGUUUCCUCAUAUGUAAACUGAGAAGACUGAACCCAAAUGGCUUCCAGGUCUCUUUCAACUUGGACAGUCAUUCAUUCUGGAUUCUCCUUCAACUCUAGGAAGCAUUCUAGAGAGAAGGGGGCUGGCCUGAAAGGGAAGAGGGUGUGCUGAGUGAGUCUGGAGCCUUCAGAAGAGAUGCCAGAAUUCCAAGCCAGAAGUUGCAGACUAGAAGGUUUGAUGACUUAAUGCUAUCAAGGAGACAGAACACACAACUCCCCCCCCCUUCCUGCUCCUCCUCCUCCCUCCAUUGUUUCCAGAUCCAGAGCUUAUCCUUCGAGGUGCAAAGCAGUUACUCUUGGAGCAGUAUGUUGUGGAGAAAAGGUAUCAAGAGCAUCAGUUAGGAAAGAUGAGCUUGAGUUCUUCAAGCCCGAGGGUGCCCGGGAAUGCAGAGACCAAGGAGGUGCCAAAGAGGCCCUAUUGCUUGCACAGAACCCACUCAUUCAAAUGGGAAGCCCCAGGUUUCUAUUCGCUUCAUUCAUUCUUUGGAGGUUUUCUUUCAUUUUAGAGAGUUGAUUUGUUUCUGUGCUGGCACAACUAGAAGGAAGGCAGCAGUAAGAAAAGCAACACAGUUUGGAAGUUUUGGGGGAUCUAGGGGCUCAGGAGAUAUGGUGAUUCCCAUCCCUUAGGGAGAAGGGUGAGAAGUAGGGAGAAUGGGGCACCCUGGGACAGCUGGAUAGAAAGGCAGAUAUUGUGCAGCAGGCCUACCCCCAUAUAUUUAGGGAAUCUUCCCACGAGCUCCAUCCUGGGUAUUAAGUACUCUACUAUGCCCGUCACAGUUGAAUUCCUGCUGUAAUAAAACACCGGGUAUAUGGUAGAUUUCAGCAAAACUAGGGAAAAAAGCCUGCAAAGUGCCAUUUUUCUUCAAGGGGGAGAGUGUUAAGUACUUAAUUCAAACUGUGACCAUUAAAGUGUCUCCUAUCCGACUUAGGCUGAUUUCAGAUGUUGACAAAACUUUUAUCUCCAGAGUCAUGCACAGCUUGGCUCUGAGACUAAAGCAGAUGAGUGUGUAUUAAAGAGAGGGAGGGAUAAAGAUGGAGAGAGCAGGAGAGCAUGUGUAAAGGUCAUCAUAACAGGAGAAAUACAGAGCUUACACAAAAUACUGUCUUUAAAGGUCAAGGGUUUGAGGGGUUAGUAAGGUUUACCUUAAAAAAAAAACUAAUGAGAUAGAAAAUUUGUCCUCUCAAUGAACUCUUAUGGUUGUCCUAGCAGAGGGCAGACAAUGCAUGAUUUUGAAGCACAAAGAGAGAUUUCUUAAGCUGUUAUUACAAGCUCCCUUAAAGGCAAAAUCUGAAACAGACAAAACAUUGUGAAGAAAUGACAUAAUCAGUUGGAUCACUUUUGAUAAUUUUGGUUUAUAAAGCUUACCAAUAUCUUACCAUUUUGAAAAAAUGCCGCUUUAUUCUAGAAUAUCACAAAAAUGGUCUCAACCCUCUCCUAUUCUGGAUAGACUACAAGAGCAAGAGAAAGAAAUCACUCCCUUUAUUUUCAUACUACUGCCUCCAGCACGAAGCUAAUGAAUUUCCCUAUACCCUUCCUCCCCACAAAGGAGAAAUAUAAGAAUUUACCUUAAAUGAUGAUAAUCUGCCAUUUGAGGUUUUGCAGCUUGACACUCAAUUUCCACCAAGAGUCUAGGUAUUUUUUUAUUUUAGCAGAUAGCCAAGAUGCUAUGUCUUUGCCUGAGACAUUAUUUGCAAGAAGAUCUCUCUCUCCUUCACAGACUUUUCCCAGAGAAUGCCUUUCAGAAUUGCUGUUGAAUUACAAAGAAGUAUUUAUUGUAUGAGGUGAUUAAUGAUUCCUGGGAAAAUUGCUAUUUUCAGCAUGAUUUAAUUUCGUUUUACAAGUGCGUGUAUAGGGGGAGGGUUAAUAAGUUUCAGCAGCAGUUGCAUUGCCUCCAGAAAUGCCUGGCACCCAUUCACACCUUAUUAAAUGCAUUUUAUCCCAG